GAUGAACGCUGGCGGCGUGCUUAACACAUGCAAGUCGAACGGUGAACGAGGGAGCUUGCUCCCUCCGGAUCAGUGGCGAACGGGUGAGUAACACGUGAGCAAUCUGCCCUGGACUCUGGGAUAAGCGUUGGAAACGACGUCUAAUACCGGAUACGAGACGCGAAGGCAUCUUCAGCGGUUGGAAAGACCUGCGGUUCAGGAUGAGCUCGCGGCCUAUCAGGUAGUUGGUGAGGUAACGGCUCACCAAGCCUACGACGGGUAGCCGGCCUGAGAGGGUGACCGGCCACACUGGGACUGAGACACGGCCCAGAGUCCUACGGGAGGCAGCAGUGGGGAAUAUUGCACAAUGGGCGCAAGCCUGAUGCUGCAACGUCGCGUGAGGGACGACGGCCUUCGGGUUGUAAACCUCUUUUAGCAGGGAAGAAGCGAAAGUGACGGUACCUGCAGAAAAAGCACCGGCUAACUACGUGCCAGCCGCCGCGGUAAAAC
rnacentral:rRNA from 1 species